rnacentral:rRNA from 1 species
CGCCCGCCGACGACCGGCGCACGGGUGAGUAACACGUAUGCAACCUGGCCGCCACAGGGGGAUAACCCGCGGAAACGCGGCCUAAUACCCCGUGACGCCACCGGAGGGCAUCCUCCGGUGGCCAAAGGAGCGAUCCGGUGGCGGAUGGGCAUGCGGCGCAUUAGCUAGACGGCGGGGUGACGGCCCACCGUGGCGACGAUGCGUAGGGGUUCUGAGAGGAAGGCCCCCCACACUGGGACUGAGACACGGCCCAGACUCCUACGGGAGGCAGCAG